rnacentral:lncRNA from 1 species
AUAUCUUGAUAGUAGCACGGACGCCUCCGUACUACCAAGUUGUUUUCAAUAAUGCCGCUUUCAAAUCAACGAUCGGCUCCAUUAGACUUGAUCUACAUUAUUGAAAGUAUUUGCAAAUUAAAUUUCAUAAUUUUUCGGUAUUAUUUAACUAUCAAACGAGUAGUCUAAAAAUGAACGACUGAAAAUAAAAAUCUCGUAAAAAAUGAUGAUAGAAGUCUUGAAUUUAAGAUCAUAGGUACUGAUCUUACUUUAAAUAGUAAAAAAAAAAUUUAUAAAAAUUUCAUCUGAUUUGGAUUGUUUUAUACCAUUAAAUUUGCAAAUGCAUCACAUCUACCAUUAAAACUGUCAAUUUUAAGACAUUUUGAUCACUAGCCUAAUGAUGUCGAAAAAUUCUAAAAUUUAAUUUUCAAAUACUUUUAAUAGUGUAGAUUAAGUCUAACGGAGCUGAUCGUCGAUUUGGAAGCCGCAUCAUCAAAAACAACUUGGUAGUACGGAACCCCCUGUGCUACCGAUAGUAUAGUAGCCGGACUCCUAAUAUAACUAUUAUUAUUAUAAUGAUUCGUUGUUGCCUUAUUUGCUACUAGGAAAGCAAGGUGAUCACUCCCUAUCAUAUUUUUGCUAUUACUUUCCUUUUUACCUCAGGCUUUCGUUUGGUUCGGGGUUAAGUAAGAACUAGUUAUUUUAGGAAUAGGGUUAAGGAAGGGUUAAAGUAAUUUUAUGUUUAGUUGAGAAUUGGAUUUAGUGCAGAUAUAAGCAAAAUAGAGUUUGAUUGGAGUAAAUGAAAUAAAAAAAUAGUGGGUAAUUAUAAAUAAAAAAUAAUAAUAUUGUUCCAAUUAUUAUAUUUGAAUUUAAUUUUUUUAUUUUAUAUUUAAAAUUUUAAAUUUAAAUAGAUAACUUUUAAAAUUAAAAAUUAAAAAUUAAAAUCUAUAUUUUUAAAUCUCAAAUUUAAAAAUUAAAGUUAUAAAUUUUAAAUCAAAUCUAACAAAUAUAAAAUUUAAAAUAUAAAAUUUAAAUAGUUAAAAAUAACAAUUUAAAAUUAAAAAUUAAAAAUUAAAAAUUUAAAAAUAAAAAUAUUAUUUUUAAGAUUACAAAUUAAUCAUUUUUAAAAUUUCAAAUAUAA